CGCAAUAAACUUGUAACUGAAAACUUCCCGGGGGAUGGGGACAGACUCCAGAGUGAGCUUAAAACUAUUGGUUAACUAACCAAUAAUUGUGUCUGAUUUGCCUCAGUCAUUACAUAAUUCCCCCCCUUUCGCUCGUUGUUGUCUCUCUUAUGGCAACAGUGAGCGACAUUGAAGGUGCAGAAAGAUCAGACACAUCACUGACACACAAGGUUGGAAGGCUGUGAUGGGCCCUGGUUGUAUGUGUCUCCUGGAGUGGUGGUCGUUGAUGCAGACCGUGGGCAAGCUAAGUUCUCUGAGCUGGUGCUGCAGGAAUCAACGCAUCCAGUGCCUUGACGGUGUGUCACCUGUCACCCUAAAGUCAGUUAGUGCGGGCGAGACAUUUGCUGGUGGCAAGGUUCAGGGCUUUGAGCUUGCUCAGCAGGUGUCGAGGUUGCAGGUGCCAUGACAGUGUCACCUGUCAUUCGGACACCCAUGAAGCAGGUGGUUGCAGGAAGAGUUUAUGGGAUUUGUAGUGUGAAGAGUGUUUCAGACUGACCUAGGGUUGAUGACAGAAGCAUUUGUUACCUCUGCUCUCAGUCCAAAGGAGUCUGAAGUUUGCUGUGUCCCUCUGCUCUGGUGGCGGCGCCGACUUGAGCAGGUCUGAGUUGUCUUGUGUGAGUGGUCAGAAGCUUGUGCUUCUGAGUACUUCUCCAGUAAGUACUGUUCAUGGGGCUCCUUACUAGCGUUAGAAGCUCCUACAGGUUCGAUGCAGGCAUGUCCAGUCGCCCUUGUGCUACCUGCUGUUGGAGAUCAUGCGGUGUCUGCAGGAAGAGGAUGUUUCCAUCCAUGGCUUCUCCCUGUGGUAGGUCUGGUGCCUGGGUCUGUCUGAAUUAAUCCUUCUCCUUCUGUAGCUUUAGAGGAUUUCAGGAAAUUGGCUGAUGAGGUGUCAAGCAGAAGGCUUUGGCUCCCCUCUCUGUACCUCUGUGCUUGGCUGGGGAAGGUUCUUCUGCUGCAGGCAAGAGAGUCUCAGUUCUCUUUGGGCCAUGUCAAGUUCAUCUUUGGUGUUGUCCAGCUGCUGGGUCAGAGCUUCAGUCCCAGGUCUGGACACAUCCAGAGGACGUUCACAGGUCCUGAUCCUGUCAUCUUUGUCCUAGAGUUCAGAAUUUGCUAUUUUUAACAGUGACUAUUUGUGACAGAGUUCUUUUACCAAAUCCUCUCUGGCUGCCUUUUCCAGCUGCUCUCGUUGUCAGAGCCUUUGAGGUUUUGUGGAUUUUCUUCUGUGCCUCUAUUCUGUCAGGGUCUGUCCUGAGCCUCCAUCUCUAGCUGGUCUAUGUGGCAUUUAGCAUGCAUUAGCUCCUUGUGAGUCUCUGUGAUCUGGAGUUGGAGGGUGUUCACCUCCUGUUUCAAACCAGUGAGGUUGUGGGCCAGGAAGAAGUUGACUUCAGUCAGAUCAUUGUGAUCAUACCCCUGGUUUGAGUCAUCUGCCUUUACUUCUCUUCCAUCUUUGUCCAGUUGCUUUUGGCUCUGAUGCUGUAAGGGAUCAGCAGCCCCGGUUAGGAGGGUGUUCCUCACCACACCUAGCCAGUCCUUUCGGUCUGCCAUCUGGGCAGUUAGGCUGAGCAUCUGCAACCUUUAGGCACGCUUGUGGUGAGAGUAAGGGCAAGAGACUACUGCACGAUCAAACAGAAUUUAGGGCUAAAGGCACAGUGAGCAGCCAGGUGUAUAAAGCUAGGUUUAAUAAAUGACUUAAGAUGGUUCUUAAUGUCAUAUUAUUUAUCAGAACGUACUGAUGGCUCACAACGGGCUCGACCUCUGAACGAAUGGAAGAGAGAAAGGGAGAGGAGGAGGAGAGCUUCCCAUUGGAUUGUGUUCAUUAGUGGUGCUCAAAAUUAUGCCAUAGCAAUCGUUCAGAUUACUUUUGUAACUGGCUCAUAAAAUUGAAACAACUGUUGUAAAUUAACAAAAUCAAGAAGGAAAGUAUGUCUAGUUGCUUGUGGUUAUAUUGGGAAAUUGAACCACACAAGACAAAAAAGGAAGAUGUAAGUAAAUCACAAAGAUGAAAGAAAUAAUACUAGUAAAAAUUAAUAGCUGACUGCUAUUAUAAUUAAAAUCAAUAAAAAGAUUUAAAGAAGUGACUAAAACAGCAGAAUGGGUUUAGAUCAGUUCACACUGCACACACACAAGCUGUAGUUAAAGGCUUCACAUAAAUGAUGCUAACCGCUAACUGUAGAAGCUAUUAGUUAGCUUAGCCUGAGCGGAAGGGUUGCUAGGUGGGGUUAGCUUAGCCACCUAGCCUGGUUUGUUUACACCAUGGCAUCACAAGGUGAUGAGUUAGCACUUCCUGUGACAAGUCGUUGUCAUGGGAACCAAUGCACACCACAGCAAUUCAAACAGUUCAUGAAGACGGUCUGCUCAUUUCAAACUAGUUACGUACAGAGUUAAAAUGUGAUGCUUAUACUUUCAGAUUUUCAAAAACUUGAUAUUACAUUUAGCAAAAUGUAAAUAUGUUUUGGCAUUUGCAAAUUUUACUCAUGUAAACUCUUCUCUCUACUUUAAACAACGUCUUGUACUUGUUUAAAGGGGAAUUACACAGUUUGCUGUAAGUCCAAGCUUGUUUAAGCAUAUAUAGUUAAGUCCGUCUUGUGCAGGUAUACUGAUAUUCCUUUCAGCGAGUGAAACACAGUUUUGGUCAAGAGGUAGCUAUGCUUGUAGAUGCAGCCAAAGUUUAGAUGAAUGACAUCAAUCUUAACUAUAAAAGGGGAGCAUUACCCAAAUCUACAUUUAUAUAACGCUGUACUGAGAUUCAUUCAUCAGAAACAGGUUAAGCAAUACUGCAAUUGGUAUUUCUCCAACCAAAGCAGAAUAAUCAAUUCUGGUACAGUUUACAUGCCGCUGAGUUGAGAUUCCUUCGUCAACAUAGGCUUACGCUCUAAUACUGAGAUUAGGAUUUCUUCGCUAAAAUCAGAUUAACUUUACGCUGAUACCAUUUGAACAUAUGCUAAAAUGUCUUAAGACUCUUUCUGUUACGGCAGAGGUGUCACUUCAAGCUAUAGUUUUAUCUGCAUCUAACAAGCCAGCACCAUCGAUCUACAUGCGAAUCAACGUUGUCAAACGUCAUGUCGGAAUUAUCAAUUAUUAAACACACUUGGACGAUGGUUUAAGCGAGUGGCGUUAGGCCAUGCUGGCUUAACCGGCUCAACCUAGUGUCAUAUUUCAAAAUAGCUCGUCGUGGAUAGUCAUGAGCAUUUGAGAUUUACACAUUCACACAAGGUUUCCUUCCACUCCUACUGCAGACUCCUGCAUUUCUGCGAACACACAUUUUCAUCUACUUUAAAAGCUUUAUGCCCUAUGCUGCCUAGGAACCUUUGUAGAAGCUAUGGGUAAAGCACUGCGUUUGCAGUUCAAAGUCAUUGGGGUCUUGAGAACCCCCUGCUGAGGGGCCUUGUGUGUUACAGGCCUUCUGUGUCAGGUCACAUGAGUGGCACUGUGUGAGGGCAGGUUGUGCUGUCCAAAGGGGUGACUAGCUGUUGUAGGAGGCAAAGGUCCUGUUGGUGUCCUCCAUUCAUUCCAGGUUUGUCUGAGUCGGUGGCAGUAACCUUGGGACUUUCAGAUCUGCCCUGCUUGGUGUCGGGGGCAGCACUCAAUCUGCAUUCAGGCUUCUGGGUCUGAGAAAUCCUUUAUGCAGACUGGCUUCAGCUGCUGAUAGUCUAAUUGGAGUUUUUCUGGCUGUUAAGUCAAAACUCAUAGUGAAUCUGGUGGGGUGUGAUCCAGAACAGAGAGCCUGUCUUGGUGGAUCACACCAGUCAGGGACUUUGGAACGAAAGAGAAUGUCUAUUAUGUUGGCAUUGGUGCUGUGGUCUCCUAAGCUGCAGGCUCUGGCCCCUCCCCCCUUUGUGAAGGGUUGGGGGAGCUCUCGCUGCUGCUGCUGCAAAGUCCAUCAGGUUGCAAGUUCCUUGUGUGGUCCAUUCUUAGUUGUUCGGGCUGUUUCAGUUCUUUUCGGACCACAAUGUGUUUGUUUCUCACGCUGCUGAAUUGUGGAGUCAGUGUUUGACUUUCAGUUCUGCAUGCGGGUGGCCUUCAAGGGCCCUAGCUUUAGUGUCUCUUUAAAUUCAAACCUUACGUUCCUUACGUUCUUUAACUGGCAAAGUUCAACAGCUGUCAGAGCCUCCAGAGGACUGGUGACCUCCCUCAAUUGCUCUGCUCUGUCAUGGUUCUUGCAUCUGUCCUGUGUCUUCUCAUGCUGAGUGGGUUGGUUCUCUGUGGAACUCAGUGACUUGCAGCGUUCGUUCAAUUACCUCCUGUUGGAAGCCCGUAUGAGCAUGGGCUAAGGAGAGGAUGAAGCUCUUUGUGGCUCAGGUCAGGUGUCACGUGUGUGCUGGUGCUGCCGAUCUCGCUGUCCCUUGCUCUGCGGUUGCAGGUUGUUGACUGCUUUAGCUGAAGGGCAACCAUCACAUUGUUCCGCUGGGUCUCCAGGGGGUCCUGGAUGGCAGGGCUGGAUGUACUGGGCAGACCGGCACACUUAUGGGGACAUGAGAGAAAGAGAUAGCACAGGCAAAUGCAAGUUCGUACAGCUAUGUGGGCCGUAUAGGGAGUGACUAGCUGAAGUGGGGGAAGCCAGCAUGAGACUAAGGUGUUUAACUAUCUUGGAUGACAGCUGUAAGCUGUGUUGACUGAUGACGGGGCUGGUACACGUCAUUAAACUAUUACUCAGAGUACAGAUGAUUCCUUUCCAGAAAUUAUCACCAUAAGGUAAAAGAAUAGAACAAACUGGUAGAGAGAGAGAGAGAAAAAAAAAUGAAAUAAGAAAAGGGAAAGGAAGGAAAGAGGUUUUUUACCCAUUUAGUCUUGCUAGGAGAUAUGGUUAAGCAGGUGUCACUGGUUCAAGUGAUGACCUAAUCUCUAGACUAACAGAGAAAGACCAGAUGCCUUGAGGUCGAAAGGAGAAGAAACAACUGGAAGAGUUUCUAGUCCUUUCCGGAGCCCCAAGUGCACUGGACGGUGGCCGUACUUCAUGUACUCAGCACUAAGGAGUGAGGAGGGGGAGCUGAGAGAUAGGUGUUAGCGUAGUAAUAACCUAUAACUCAUUAUGCCUCAUUAAGGAAACAACAGUUUCUAGAACUACUGUAAUCCUAUAGAAAAAGGGAAGAGGGUGAUAGUAGAAUAACACAAAAAAUAAAUAAAUAAAAUAAAA